rnacentral:rRNA from 1 species
CCUACGGGGGACAGCAGUGAGGAAUAUUGGUCAAUGGCCGGAAGGCUGAACCAGCCAAGCCGCGUGAAGGACGAAGGUGCCAAGCAUUGUAAACUUCUUUUGUCAAGGGACAAAAUCAGGCUCGAGAGCCUGACCGAGGGUACUUGAAGAAAAAGCAUCGGCUAACUCCGUGCCAGCAGCCGCGGUAAUACGGAGGAUGCGAGCGUUAUCCGGAUUUAUUGGGUUUAAAGGGUGCGUAGGCGGGCUGUUAAGUCAGCGGUAAAAGCCCGGGGCUCAACCUCGGAAUUGCCUCUGAUACUGUUCGGCUAGAGAGUAGUUGCGGUAGGCGGAAUGUAUGGUGUAGCGGUGAAAUGCUUAGAGAUCAUACAGAACACCGAUUGCGAAGGCAGCUUACCAAGCUACUUCUGACGUUGAGGCACGAAAGCGUGGGUAGCAAACAGGAUUAGAUACCCUAGUAGUC